AUGGUGACAAAUAUAGAACACAUGGAAACCAUGACAGUAGAGCAUUUAAUCACAACCUGGAAAGAACAAAUUGAGCAUGUAUGCCCUCAAUAGGAAAAUGGUGCAAAAAAAAGAAAGAUAUACACCAUGUGUAGCAUUAGAGCAGAGCAUCUAUCAGGUUUAAGAGGGCAGCAACUGAACAUGUUUCAUAGGACAGGAUAGAGUCCGGGUCUUUGUUGUGAUGUUUCAUAGGACAGGAUAAAGUCCAGGUCUUUAUUGUGAUGUUUCAUAGGACAGGAUAGAGUGUGGGUCUUUAUUGUGAUGUUUCAUAGAACAGGAUAAAGUCCAGGUCUUUAUUGUGAUGUUCCAUAGGACAGGAUAAAGUCUGGGUCUUUAUUGUGAUGUUCCAUAGAACAGGAUAAAGUCUGGGUCUUUAUUGUGAUGUUCCAUAGAACAGGAUAAAGUCUGGGUCUUUAUUGUGAUGUUUCAUAGGACAGGAUAAAGUCUGGGUCUUUAUUGUGAUGUUCCAUAGAACAGGAUAAAGUCUGGGUCUUUAUUGUGAUGUUUCAUAGGACAGGAUAAAGUCCAGGUCUUUAUUGUGAUGUUUCAUAGAACAGGAUAAAGUCUGGGUCUUUAUUGUGAUGUUCCAUAGGACAGGAUAUAGUGUGGGUCUUUAUUGUGAUGUUUCAUAGGACAGGAUAUAGUCUGGGUCUUUAUUGUGAUGUUCCAUAGGACAGGAUAUAGUGUGGGUCUUUAUUGUGAUGUUCCAUAGGACAGGUUAUAGUCUGGGUCUUUAUUGUGAUGUUCCAUAGGACAGGAUAUAGUCUGGGUCUUUAUUGUGAUGUUUCAUAGGACAGGAUAUAGUCUGGGUCUUUAUUGUGAUGUUCCAUAGGACAGGAUAUAGUGUGGGUCUUUAUUGUGAUGUUCCAUAGGACAGGUUAUAGUCUGGGUCUUUAUUGUGAUGUUCCAUAGGACAGGAUAUAGUCUGGGUCUUUAUUGUGAUGUUCCAUAGGACAGGAUAUAGUCUGGGUCUUUAUUGUGAUGGUCCAUAGGACAGGAUAUAGUCUGGGUCUUUAUUGUGAUGUUUCAUAGGACAGGAUAUAGUCUGGGUCUUUAUUGUGAUGUUUCAUAGGACAGGAUAUAGUCUGGGUCUUUAUUGUGAUGUUCCAUAGGACAGGAUAUAGUGUGGGUCUUUAUUGUGAUGUUCCAUAGGACAGGAUAUAGUCUGGGUCUUUAUUCUAUAAUAUGUUCUCUGUUAUUGGGGGUGUUGCUUAUCAGGAAAUGGUUGUUAAGGUGUUGUCUCACAGAGACGAGAGUCCGUUUUGAUUGAAGAAAAGGAGUGUGACGUAGACGUCUGCAGACUACAGGGAUGAGUCCAUAUACACUACUAACUAUAGCACGACACGAUCAGUAAGAAUGUAAGGACCUGAUUUGAAUACUGGUCACUGCCUUUCUUGUUUUUGUUCUGUUAUUUUUAGGGUCAACAUUAAUAUUGAUUACUGCAUUGUUAAGUUUGGAGAUUGCAAGAAAGGCAUUUCACUGUACUUAAAACAGUAACAUUAAAACUUGAAACUGUGUUUUAAUAUUUAACCAGGAAAUCCAAAUGAGGUCAAUUGAUCUCUUUCCCUCUUUCCUUGUUGUCUGUUACGUUCCCCAGUUUCUGUUUUGAGUUUGUAUGUGUUUGUAUGUGUAUGUUUAAGGAAAUGGCUUCCUGGAUUUGAAGCAGCUGAUUGGUCGGCCCCGACAAUUGGGGCUCUGACCCCGCCCUCUCGUCAGGGGAUACAGCUGUCUGCAAUUACCGACUCCUGCAGCUUGAAAAGCCAGUGUUCUUUUGUUAGGAGAGAGAGCUUCUUUGAUGUCCUGUGUUGUUGUUGCUCAGAGACAGGUUUUGUAAAGUAUUUUGUAGCCGGUCCUGCUGAGGUAUGUGUAUGCCAAAAGGACUGACUGUGUUGGUUGUGGGUCAGAGACAGGUUUUGUAAAGUAUUUUGUAGCCGGUCCUGCUGAGACCCUUUUCCCCAAAUUACCGUGUGAAGGAAGAAUAAAUUCCCAGUUAACGGAGACUGUUACCAUGGCCACCAUGAUCCUAUCACUGCUUCUCCCCGCUGUUGUUCUGCUCGGAACACUGACAGGUUAUGAUCAUAGAUGCCAGGCACACCGGUUUGAGUGUGUCAAGAACUGCAACGCUGCUGGGUUUAUCACAACAGUUUCCCGUGGGUACCAAAGGACAUCUGUAGAACUUGACACAACUGUGGGAAGCAUUGGAGUGAAAUUUGGGCCAGCAUCCCUGCGGAACACUUUCCACACCUUGUAAGAGUCCCGAUGAAUUGAGGUUGUUCUGAAGAAUAAAAUCAAAUCAAAUUGUAUUUG